rnacentral:lncRNA from 1 species
CGGUGAAUUAACUUGGGUAGAACUGACCCCAAGAAUAACCAUCUUCCUAAUACGUCACCACAGCCACUCAAAAACUGCAUCUGGCUUUUUCCAAAGUUUCCAUUUGUGAUUUCACUUUUAAGAUUGAUAUUUUGAUUCCAUGGCCUAUGGAACAUUAUGUAUCCAUUAGAAGUUUGUGGGUGAGCUACCGCUGUGUAGUGAAAAAGAGAAUUAUCCACAAUAUGUUGUUGAGUUUUUUCUUAAUACACUGUAUUGGCGUGUAGUUGACUUAGAAAGGUGUGUUAGUUUCAGGUGUACAGCAAAGUACAUCCGUUAUGCAUAUACACAUCUCCAUUCUCUUUCAGAUUCUUUUCCCAUAUAGGUUAUCACACAGUAUUGAGUAGAUUGCACUGUGCUAUACAGUAGGUCCUAGUUACCUGCCUGUUUUAUGUACAGUGAUGUGUUAAUCCCAAUCCCUUAAUGUACCCUUCCUGCCCCAUAUUUCCCCUUUGGUAACUAUAAAUUUGGUUGCAAAACUUGGAGUCUGUUUCUGUUUUGUAAGUCUUAUUGUACAUUGUUUUGUUAAAUUCCAUGUAUUAGUGAUCUGAUCUCAUAUAUUUGUCUUUCUCUGUCUUCGAGUUUUAACAGUAAAUGUAGGAAAAUGUUCAUGUGACAUGACCCCAGUCUGGCGGGGGAUUUUUACGUUGCUAUAUCUUUCUUUGUAUCUAUACAGCUCACGCACGCUGGUGCAGAGGAGUGUACGCACACACACAUACACACGCCACCAUAGUAAAUGCUACUUUUGAGGAUGAGAAAUAGACCAAGAAGCACUUAGAUGAGGGGGUAACUGUCACAUUUAUCUUACACAUUUCUGUAGUGUGGAUUUUUUUCAGUGAUCAAGCACAACUUUUGUUUCUAAGAGGCAUAUAUACGAGACAAAAGCACAGCGGGAAAGCAUGCUCAUCCCUUCAGAGGGGAAUCAAGGCCCUGCAUCCCCCGGUCUUGCUUUGCUGUCCAGUGGGCAGCGUGCCCUGCCCAGCUCGCCUUAGCUGUUGGGGGCUCCUGAAGAAAGUAGGAGGCGUAGAGCCACCAGACAGGACCCGCAUCUAUAGCCUGAUCCAUGACUUUUCAGGUUUUCAGUCUUUUUGAUUCAUCAUUCGUUUUCAUAAAAAACACCUACCUCUCAAACUGAGGAGCAAAUGAGAUGUACCGUGUGAAGUGCCUGAUAUAGAAUGUGCCCCACUGGGAGUUCCCACUGUGUGCAGUAGGUUAAGGAUCCAGUGUUGCUGCAGCUAUGGGAUAGGUCACGGUUAUGGCUCUGAUUCAAUCCCUGGCCCAGGAAGAAAUUCCAUAUGCUGCAGGUGUGGCCAUUGAACAAAACGAAACAAAACAAAACAAAACAAAAAAGAAUGUGCUCCAUGAACAGUAAGGGGAGGGGGAGGUCAGGUAGAAAAAUGUAGUGUCAGAAUCCCGCUGUGGCUCAGCAGGUUACCAACCUCGCUAGUACCCAUGAGGAUGCGGGGGUUCCAUCCCUGGCUUCACUCAGUAGGUUAAGGAUCCGGCGUUGUUGUGAGCUGUAGUGUAGGUCACAGACUCGGCUUGGAUCCCACGUUGCUGUGGCUGUGGUGUAGGCAGGCAGCUACAGCUCCAAUUCAAUCCCUAGCCUGGGAAACUUCCAUAUGCUGUGGCUGCGGCCCUAAAAAGACCAAAAAAAAAAAGGAAGCAAGGCCAGAGUGGGGAACACCCCUUGUCCAAGGCCAUACAAGUGGUCCCACUGGGACCAGCUUCAGUGGCCUGACCUGCAGACAUGCGUCCUUUUCAUUAGACCACGGUGUGGGCCGCAGGGAGGACAGUAGGAGGUCAGGCCCAGAGGGUCUCUGGGCCAUCGUGCUCAGAGGGGAGGAUGGAUGGACCCGUGUCCUCUGGGCCACAUCCUUGAUCCUCUCUUUUUGCAGCUCAGAUCCACCAUGGCUGUGGCUGUGGCUGUGGCCAGCAUCUGCAGCUCCGAUUCAGCCCCAAGCUGGGAACCUCCAUAUGCCCUGGGUGCAGACUUAAAAAAAAAAAAAAAAUUUAAAAAUUUAAAAAAAUAAGAAGAAGAAAGAAAGGAAGGAAGGAAGAUGUAUUGACAACUUUGGGUUUUGGUUUUGGAGCCAUAACUGUCCCCAGAGAGUGGUUAUUGGCAUGUUAAAUGCACCAUUGGUGCCUUUUUCCUUUUUCUUUUUUUCCUCAAUUUAACAGCCUGAAUUGACCCUCACUGAGCACCUGCUACACACCCAGGAGUGAGCUCUGCCCCCUCCUAAAAAGGCGCUCCAGGUGGGUGGGUGUGGAAGGCAGCACAUACAAUACAAGGCACAUGCUGUGUGUUUUGUCUUUUUAUGAUGCUGGCGUGGCAGUGUGAUGGGCUGGCAGUUCCCUACCACAAAUGAGGAAGAAGUAAGGAAAGACGUACAGAAAGUUAUUUUGGAAGACCAGAGUUUAGGGGGAGUGAUCAGAAAAGAAAUGAACUUAUGACACAGAUGGCAGGAAAUCACGCCUGGGUAGAGGGGAAUGUGGGGCGGCAGAGGAGAGGGUGGAGCGUGCAUCCUAAGAUGCUGAAACUCGCUCUGGACUGAGUGAGAUGAGAUGCUCACACUGCUGGGAAUUGGAGCCUCAGGCAGAGCGUGUAUGGAGGCAGAGCUGGGAGGCAGAGGAAAUCUAGGCCACCCACACCCCCACCUGCCCUGACCUCUCACCUUAAAGCCUCAGGAAGGGAAAAUCAAUGGGCUCCCGAAGUGCAGGAGCCCAGGGUCCAGGGCUGGAAUCUGACCCAUGCAGAGUGUUUACUGAUCUGGAGACGGAUAGGUUCAAAUGAGCUCAUCUUUAUCUUGAGAGGAAAUUAGGGAGCCCAGACCCAGACAAAGCCGCCUUCUAUUCAACGAAAAUCUACCACGGCCACCGCAGCCACCUCCCACCCCACGACGCACACGACAGUCCAUAAAACAUCUACCUGGGUAACCUCUCUGGAGUUCGGUUCUGCAAGAUCAACAAACAGGGAAUGAUGAACUCACAGACAACCAAAAAAAGUUAUUCCAGAAUAUCUUACUUUUACCCCUCUUGCUGAUCUGUAUCCUCUUUUGGUCCCCGCAGUUUGCAAAUAUUGACUAAGUUCAAGGGCAGCGGUAGAAGAGCUAACUUCAGAGUUAGCAUGAGGUGAAAUACUUAAGAUGGUGCAAUCCUGUCCUAAUGAAGAGCAUAUCAGAUCCCAAGGUUGGUUAUGGGCAGUUCUUGUCCCCUGACCCAGUUGAUAUUUGUUUUAUCAAGUCAGGGACUAUUUUUGUCAUCAUUGUUAAUCUCCCCCUUGCCAGAUCUGUUUUGGCCGAGGGCAUGCACUUGAGGUAUGUUAAAAGAAUGGAGUGCAGUAUUGUGGGAAAGAAUUAUCACUAAUUCUGUCUGCCUACAGCUUCCUCAGCCCUGUUCGUCUGAUCUUAACACACCAAGCAAAACUGUAGACAGAAAGUUCUACAAGCCCAUGACCUGGUUCCAGCAAGUAGAUUUUGAAGCUGAAAGAGGAAGGUAGCAGCAUUCCCAUGAUGGCUUUAAGUCUUCAUUCUGUAGGAAACAUUUUUGACUUGCCCAUCAGGGGAGGGCUUGACAGAAUGUUUUGCCAAUAAAGAAACACCCUGCUGGAGUUCCCCGGUGGCGUGGAGGGUUAAGGAUAUGGCAUUGUCACUGUUGUGGCUCUGGUUGCUGCCAUGGCAAGGGUUCGAUCCCCGGCCCAGGGACUUCCUCAUGUCACAGGCAUGGCCAAAAAAAAAAAAAA